UACGUAGGUGGCAAGCGUUGUUCGGAAUUAUUGGGCGUAAAGGGCGCGUAGGCGGUUUGUUAAGUCGGCUGUGAAAGCCCGGGGCUCAACCCCGGAGGGUCAGCCGAUACUGGCAGACUAGAGUACGGAAGAGGUAGCUGGAAUUCCCGGUGUAGCGGUGAAAUGCGUAGAGAUGUGGAGGAACACCAGUGGCGAAGGCGACUCUUUGGUCUGUAACUGACGCUGAGGCGCGAAAGCGUGGGGAGCAAACAGG
rnacentral:rRNA from 1 species